AUUGAACGCUGGCGGCAUGCUUUACACAUGCAAGUCGAACGGCAGCACAGGGAGCUUGCUCCCGGGUGGCGAGUGGCGCACGGGUGAGUAAUACAUCGGAACGUGUCCUGUUGUGGGGGAUAACUGCUCGAAAGGGUGGCUAAUACCGCAUGAGACCUGAGGGUGAAAGCGGGGGAUCGCAAGACCUCGCGCAAUUGGAGCGGCCGAUGCCCGAUUAGCUAGUUGGUGAGGUAAAGGCUCACCAAGGCAACGAUCGGUAGCCGGACUGAGAGGUUGAACGGCCACAUUGGGACUGAGACACGGCCCAGACUCCUACAGGAGGCAGCAGUGGGGAAUAUUGCACAAUGGGGGAAACCCUGAUGCAGCGACGCCGCGUGGAGGAAGAAGGUCUUCGGAUUGUAAACUCCUGUUGUUGGGGAAGAUAAUGACGGUACCCAACAAGGAAGUGACGGCUAACUACGUG
rnacentral:rRNA from 1 species